rnacentral:rRNA from 1 species
CCGAGGCUAAUACCGGAUAUGACCUUUGAAGGCAUCUUCGAAGGUGUAAAGGAUUCUGGCUAGGGAUGGGCCCGCGGCCUAUCAGCUUGUUGGUGGGGUAAUGGCCUACCAAGGCGACGACGGGUAGCCGGCCUGAGAGGGCGACCGGCCACACUGGGACUGAGACACGGCCCAGACUCCUACGGGAGGCAGCAGUGGGGAAUAUUGCACAAUGGGCGCAAGCCUGAUGCAGCGACGCCGCGUGAGGGAUGACUGCCUUCGGGUUGUAAACCUCUUUCAGCAGGGACGAAGCGAAAGUGACGGUACCUGCAGAAGAAGCACCGGCCAACUACGUGCCAGCAGCCGCGGUAAUACGUAGGGUGCAAGCGUUGUCCGGAAUUAUUGGGCGUAAAGAGCUCGUAGGCGGUUAGUCACGUCGGCUGUGAAAACCUGGGGCUCAACUCCGGGCCUGCAGCCGAUACGGGCUAACUAGAAUUCGGUAGGGGAGACUGGAAUUCCUGGUGUAGCGGUGAAAUGCGCAGAUAUCAGGAGGAACACCGGUGGCGAAGGCGGGUCUCUGGGCCGAUAUUGACGCUGAGGAGCGAAAGCGUGGGGAGCGAACAGGAUUAGAUACCCUGGUAGUCCACGCCGUAAACGGUGGGCGCUAGGUGUGGGCCAC